UGUCCAUCCGACAUAAGCUACCGAGU
rnacentral:misc_RNA from 1 species